rnacentral:miRNA from 1 species
GACCUCAUCAAAUGGAAGGAAUUCCUUCCAAUUGAUGAGGUGCAAAGACCUCAUCAAAUGGAAGGAAUUCCUUCCAAUUGAUGAGGUG